rnacentral:RNase_MRP_RNA from 1 species
AAGCACGGCUUCGCAGCGCACACACGGGGAGCUCGCUCCCGGCGAUGCUGCGGGGAAAGUCCCCGGGCCUUGGGGCAGAGAGUGCCGGCGCGGGAGCGCACGGCCCCGGCGCAGCCGCAGGCGGCGAGGCUCGGCGCGGAGCCGCGGCGGCGUGCUGGGGCCGGUCGCCGCAACACAGACAUGCCGUGGGCGCCCGACAAGGACGCCAACAGAACGGGGCUCACUCUC